UGCUGGCAUCAAGUAAGCCGACUACCUCGGCAAAGGCUUAGGGACAAGAGACCAGCAGCCUGAACUGGCUGGGGCAUCCGGAAGGCUUAGAUCUUGUGGCCAAGAGUUCAGACCGUGGCGAAGUGGAGAGUGACAUGCAGUUGGAUGGCGGUGACUGCGUGAUGAUUGUAGGGGUCAAGGAUCAGCUCAGCAUUCUUGGGCAAUGUGCUGUAACUGGCGGCCUGGGUCUAGGCACAUGACAUUGUUCUUUGGCCCUUUGAAGGUCCUGCAACCCUGGUUCCAGUCUGGCAAGCAUUGUAGACCUGGCUGCUGAAGACUGACGGGGCCCAGGGUCCGCUGCCCCCACCGCCAUCACCACCUCGGAACCCAGGGUAACGCUGUCAGUCUUUGAGCCUACGAGGAAACCAUUCGGAAGCUCCAGAACCCAGGCCCUAAUCACAACGCCCCUAUCCAGCAGGAAGCAGCCAGAUGAUCAACGACGCCCUUUUUCCUUUUUAUACUAAAGUAAGAAAUAAGAAUGUUAGCCCAAACUGCACUAUUUUGCAGACCCCUACCAUUUUACAAACUGGUCAGAGUGGAAAAUUCCACCAGGGCCUGAGCUGUGAGAAACAUCCUGUCAGGCAGGUCCCAGGCCUAACCCCUGGCUGCACUAAAUUCCUUCAUUAUCAGCAGCCAAACACACCGCCCCCACCCCAUUUUCACAACAAUCCCAGACCUCUCCUGCCCGGGACUGUAACUGGUCCAGCCUGUAAGCGGGAAGGGGGCUCUGGCACUAGCUGGUACCCCCUCUCCGCAGGUCUUUCUCCCAAUAAAUCUGUGUUGC
rnacentral:lncRNA from 1 species